rnacentral:tRNA from 1 species
UCUAUUUUGGCAGAUAAGUGCACCGGGUUUAGAAUCCGAACAUGUAAAGGAAUUUUACAGAUAGAA